rnacentral:rRNA from 1 species
GAUGAACGCUAGCGACAGGCCUAACACAUGCAAGUCGAGGGGCAGCACAUGAGUAGCAAUACGAUGGUGGCGACCGGCGCACGGGUGAGUAUCGCGUAUGCAACCUACCUUCCACAGGGGGAUAGCCUUCCGAAAGGGAGAUUAAUACCGCAUAAAACAGGGGCCCCGCAUGGGGAUAUUUGUUAAAGAUUUAUCGGUGGGAGAUGGGCAUGCGUUCCAUUAGCUAGUUGGCGGGGUAAUGGCCCACCAAGGCAUCGAUGGAUAGGGGAACUGAGAGGUUUAUCCCCCACACUGGAACUGAGACACGGUCCAGACUCCUACGGGAGGCAGCAGUGAGGAAUAUUGGUCAAUGGGCGGGAGCCUGAACCAGCCAAGUCGCGUGAAGGAAGACGGUUCUAUGGAUUGUAAACUUCUUUUGCACUGGGGUAAAACGGGGGACGUGUCCCCCCUUGCAAGUACAGUGCGAAUAAGCAUCGGCUAACUCCGUGCCAGCCGCCGCCGUAA